AAAAAGACAAAUAGUGAAUUUUCGUGUCCAACAUUUAACUGUCCGACUUAUAUAAUUUUUUUUUAUAAUUAGUAUUUUCAUUAUUGUUAGAUGAUAAAACAUGAUUAAUACUUUAUAAGUGAUUUAUCUUUUUUAGUUUUUUUCAUAGUUUUUAUAAAUAAGACGGACGGUCAAACGUUGGACACGGAAACUCAGGGUUUGUCUUUUU
rfam:Oryza sativa Japonica Group DNA, chromosome 5, cultivar: Nipponbare, complete sequence.